rnacentral:lncRNA from 1 species
CGCACCAUCAUGAAGGCUCAAGUCAAACCAUUGUGUAAUGGCAUUCGUCGGAAGGAGUGGACCAAAGCACAGCGUGGCGCAGCUGCAGAUGUUUGUGAAACAAGAACUGAUUUCAUCACGUGGACCCCCAAACAAUGUGUAAUUGUCCGUGUCCCGUGAGAUGAUGACUUCCUCACCAAGGCUCUGGACACAAUAAACCGAUUCUGGGCCAAGUAUAUCUACAACAAGAUGGUUGGCACAGCCCAUUUACAAGGUACAAACUCUAGGUUGUGAUAUAGGUCUACUGUAUAUUUAUUUCAUAUACUGUAACUGAUAGAAUAAGAGAUUGGGAAUAAGUUAAGAAAACCAAGACUAUGGGCUGAAUUCAAUCCGUAUCGAGGAAGAUCCACCUUUUAUUAGCUCGUCUGAAAUGUAAAGGCCAUGUUCCCGUGUUCGCGGAGACUGCAUUCGCGUUAAACGCUGCAUAUGUCGGCUCAAUCGGAAAUUACCUUUGCAUUUUAAUACGGAUCUUCCGCGAUACGGAUUGAAUACAGCCUUAUAUCUGGUUCCACGCUGGCUGUAAAAAAACAUCAACAACCAAAAACAAUUGACGGUGAUGCGUUUCCUUCUUAGGAGACAGACUCCAGUCUACAGACAGUCCAGGGUGGAAUACAGUGCAGAGAGGAAGAAUGGGAAGCUGGUACAUGAAGAAAAGUUAGGAAUAGAGUAGUUCAGUCGAAGGACUCAACCCUGAAUCAUGUAAUCGGUCUGGUGAAGAAAAAAAAAAAGAUUGGCAUUUCAGGACCCUUUUUAGGCAUCCCUUUGGCUGUCACAUUCAUUUGUAUUCUUGUAAACAACACUAUCAGACAUGUUCACCAUUGCAGCACAUACGUGUAGUAUGUUGUCAACCAUCGUCUCUUCUCGCUUGUCAACUUCAUCCCUAAGGGUUCUUCAAGAAGCACAGUGGAUGUUCCCCAUGGAGGAUAUGGAAUAUUCCCUUCAGGACACCGUUUCACCCUCUCUAUAGAAUAAGAAUCACCUCUAAUCGCCAUGUACAUACAUUUGACCUGGUGAAAUGGUGCUACAGUGUAUACAAUAGACAGAAUAUGGACAGAACUUACCCAUAGUCUAAUUGUAGUACAUACACAUAAUACACAAUAGUAAGUAAUUUAAGUAAAAAUGUAUACAAUGUAAAGUGUGUGGGUGCAAAUAGCUAAUGCAGUUGAUGAGUUGUCAGAGAUAUACACUGACUGUACAAAUCAUUAAGAAAACCUGCCAUGACAUACACUGACCAGGUGAAUGCAGGUGAAAGCUAUGCCAUCUUAUUAAUGUCACUUGUUAAAUCCUAUUAAAUCAGUGUAGAUGAAGAGGAGGAGACAGGUUAAGCACCUUUGAAGGGGGUAUGGUAGUACGU